GAUGAACGCUGGCGGCGUGCCUAAUACAUGCAAGUCGAGCGAACGGACGAGAAGCUUGCUUCUCUGAUGUUAGCGGCGGACGGGUGAGUAACACGUGGAUAACCUACCUAUAAGACUGGGAUAACUUCGGGAAACCGGAGCUAAUACCGGAUAAUAUUUUGAACCGCAUGGUUCAAAAGUGAAAGACGGUCUUGCUGUCACUUAUAGAUGGAUCCGCGCUGCAUUAGCUAGUUGGUAAGGUAACGGCUUACCAAGGCAACGAUGCAUAGCCGACCUGUGAGGGUGAUCGGCCACACGAGAACUGAGUCACGGACCAGACUCCAUCGGGAGGCAGCAGUAGGGAAUCUUCCGCAAUGAGCGAAAGCCUGACGGAGCAACGCCGCGUGAGUGAUGAAUGUCUUCGGAUCGUAAAACUCUGUUAUUAGGGAAGAACAUAUGUGUAAGUAACUGUGCACAUCUUGACGGUACCUAAUCAGAAAGCCACGGCUAACUACGUG
rnacentral:rRNA from 1 species